CAAGUAAUUCCAAACAGAGGGAGUAGAUAUUUAGUCCCUUUCGCUUCUAGAAACAUUUAAUAACAAAGACUUUCUUUUGCGGAAUAAAAGUAAACCAUAGCCAAAGAUGAUAAUUGACUCGAUCAUCAAUACAAUAAUCCAAUGAAGUAGAUAGACCUCACCAAGAAGAAUUUUGAUUAUUUAUUUCUUGGUUGUCCUCUCCACUUCGAGAUAAACAUAGAUAAGACAUAAAAAAUCUGAACUCAAUAAAUGUCUAAAUCCAGAGGCAAAAAAAUCAUUUGGAACGGCUCGAUUUGAAGCGAUCCCCAACAUGUAUCCCACUGAAGUGAGGGAGACGAUUCUGCUAGACCCGCUUUUUCAACCAAAAUCGCCAGACAUUCCUACGUUAUGUCUCAUCUCCUCUCUUGGUGUGUUUCUACCAUCUCUUGUAGAGAUAAGAUCCCGUCCCCUGUGGAUAUGCAUCUCGGACACUUGCGAGUCCACUCCCGGAAUUUCUUUGGCAGCGUACACUGUACAGCGCCUAGAGCUUUGAUAUUUUAGCAUGGAAUAAGAAACAAGAGAUAUUCGUUGCCAUGGAUUGGACGGUGAAAGGGAUGGGCGAUGGCUACCAUCGGCAUCAUCACCGGCCACCUGUUUCUUCUCUGUUGCUUUACUUGCACGGUUGCAACACCAAUUCCUUCAGCUUUCACUUUCGGCCCUUAUGACGCUCUCCUACUCCAAGCAAGAGGUCGGUCCAGAUUCGUGCCCGUUAAAGCAGACAGGAAGGAAGAAGGCUCCGCCUCAUCAAGGUAAGCUCUACUCUCUUUAACUCUUCAUCCUCUUUUCCCCGUCUGGAUUUCUGCUUCUUCAACUCUUCAUCCUCUACUCUCCAUAGGUCUUUAUUCAGUGAGGGAGUGCCUCUGAGUUGGACGCCAUGGUGCCGUGGAGGCUGGAGGCGCGACUGGCAGAGACGGUGAGGGCAGCGCUCCUCGGCUGGCUCUUCUUCUGCAUCACCGUCGCCAGCGAUGUCGCAUAUGCGCUCAGAAGCAGCGAUCUCUCCAUCUAAGGCCGGCCACGUUCAACAUCGCCGGCUGCCUUUUCAACUCUGCGCCUACAAAGUGGCAGUUCAUUGGACACGCAGGAAGAAAAUUGAUUUACAGCAGUGUAACCAGACAGUGAGUUCAUCCAUGAGAGAAUGAGUUCAACGUAAAGGUGAAAUAUUCAUAUAGAUUAGAUGUAAAAUCUUGUAUCAAACAGAGAAAUACUGGCUAUUGCUCAAAGUGGCCUGACUUUCAAACAAAGGUAGCAUAGAUAGCGCUGGUGCAACUUAGUAAUUAACAAUAUAGCUGGUGCAUCGGAAGAACUACAGACAAAAUUCCGAUAAAUAGCUUUCGCGAGGUGGCGCUGUAUGUACGGAUUCUACUGGUCAUCAGGCAGGAGGUUCCGACUUAUCUGCACUCGAGUGCUAUCACCGCCUUGAUGAUUUCUUGAAAGACCUCGAUUUCUGUCGGUGACCUCUUGGGGCCUCCUCUUCUUCAUCAUCGUCGUCCUCCGCCGCCUUCCUUCUCUUCUUGUGACCACCGUCCUCCCUCAGUUUCUGCCGAAU
rnacentral:lncRNA from 1 species